CCUACGGGAGGCAGCAGUGGGGAAUAUUGCACAAUGGAGGAAACCCUGAUGCAGCGACGCCGCGUGAGUGAAGAAGUAAUUCGUUAUGUAAAGCUCUAUCAGCAGGGAAGAAAAUGACGGUACCUGAGUAAGAAUCCCCGGCUAACUACGUGCCAGCAGCCGCGGUACUACGUAGGGGGCAAGCGUUAUCCGGAUUUACUGGGUGUAAAGGGAGCGUAGACGGUAGUGCAAGUCUGGAGUGAAAGGCGGGGGCUCAACCCCCGGACUGCCCUGGAAACUGUACGGCUGGAGUGCAGGUGAGGUAAGUGGAAUUCCUGGUGUAGCGGUGAAAUGCGUAGAUAUUAGGAGGAACACCAGUGGCGAAGGCGGCUUACUGGACUGUAACUGACGUUGAGGCUCGAAAGCGUGGGGAGCAAACAGGAUUAGAUACCCCAGUAGUC
rnacentral:rRNA from 1 species